GGCAACCCACUCAGAUUCCGUUUCAUAGUGUGGAGGUUUUGUUCUUUCACUCUGCAGUAAAUCUUACUGCUGCUCAGUGUUUGGGUCUGUGCUACCUUUAUGAGCUGUAACACUCACGGUGGAAGCCUGCAGUCUCACUCCUGAGGCCAGGGAGACCACGAACCCACCAGGAGGAAUGAACAACUCCGGAGGCGCAGACUUAAGAGCUGUAACACUCACCGCGAAGGUCUGUAGUUUCACUUUUGAACCAGCGAGACCAUGAACCCGCCAGAAAGAAAAAACUGCCAACACAGCCGGACAUCAGAAGGAACAAACUGGGGACACGCUGCCUUUAAGAAACAUAACAGGCACCGUGAGGGUCCACGGCUUCAUUCUUGAAGUUAGUGAGACCAAGAACCCACCUAAUCCCGGGCACAAAACCACCUCAAUCUCCCAAAGACCGAAAGCCCUGGUGUCGCUGGGACCAGAGUUCUGGAGGCUGGAUGUCCAAGAUGAAGGCACUGCUAAACUCUGCAUCUGGAGAGGGUGGUUUCCUGAUUCACGGACAAUGUCUCCUCCCUGUGUCCUCACAUGGCCUCUACUCUGUGCGC
rnacentral:lncRNA from 1 species